AUGUCCAAAUCGUUUAUUGAACGGGCCAUAUUUGGUUUUUAUUAAAUUAAACGGGUCGACCCGUUAAGAUUUUUUUUCUCUAUUUUUCACCCAAUGAAACAAUACUAUGAUAGUGUUUUAAUGUUUUCUAUCACUUUGUGAAUGCUAGUAACCUUCCCAUUAAAUAUACUUUUGUUCCUGCUCAACCAUAAAACCCAUAUUCGAAGCCAAGGAUUUCGGUUACAAAUACGAAUACGGGGUACGGGUCGGAUCUUCCUUCCACCUACAAUCUUCUUUCAGUUCCUCUCGAAUAAAAGAGACCAAGGAAACAGAAAAAAAUGAAAAUUUUUGGGAAGAAGAUUCAUCCGAGACAGAUUAUACUGUUCUUCGCCGGGAUGCUGGUGGUUGGAUCAACAAGUUAUGAUGUUCAUAGAUCGAUCAAGAACAACGAAACGCCGCCGUCAAAAGAACAGAUCCAGGCCAUGGAAGACUACCUAGCCGCCAAACGCCGUCGUUGAUCGCCGUUCGCCGCUACAAAUUUGCCACGUGAAUGCCUGAUAUACCAUACAAUAAUUAAAUGUAAUAAAACAUGUUGGUUUUGAGUUGUAAUAAUUAUAUAAUUAAUCAUUCUAAGUAUUUAACUUU